GUAGUAUUUUCGACAUGGAACAUGAAUAUGUAUGUGAAAAACAUCAAAAACAAAUAUUAUAUUAUGAACCUAUAAUUCCAAAAGUAUAAUAAGUUGGGUGCUAAGAAUUUUAAAGGCGGAGCCCAUCAAAGUUCAAAUCUUGGAUCGGCCUUUCGCUCUCUCUCAAAUACAAUAAGUUCAGUUCUAAGAAUAUUAUGAAUGCUUCUGACUUUUUUUUGUUUGUUUGAUUUUUUCAGUGUACUUCAAGGAAGUGUCGGUGAGCAUUGCUUUCACCAUUGUAAAACAGCCCCAAUCAUAAUAGUUCCUGGAAAAGGUACUUUGUCCAAGAAUUGUAUUCUCUAGCUUUGCUUCACUUGUUUUGUUUUUCUAAAUUUUUACUUUGGGGUGAUUGCGAUAGUUGCAAAAAUCUGAAGAAAAUCUAAUUUUGUUAAGCAGAAGCAGGGGAAGAAUCUGUAAUUUAAUGGAACUUGCCAAGUUUGAGUACUGCUGAUGAUCAUGCAGUAUGGCAGCAGCUUUGUUUGCUAUUGACAGGAUCGUUGACAGCUUUGCUAUUAUUGAUGUAAAUUUGUGUUUUCUGGCGUAUUCUGGAUCUACUUUGUGUAUUUCAGUAUUCAUGAUUUGUUUGUUCAACUACCGAUAUGUUGUUAAUAUGAUUAAGAAUUC
rnacentral:lncRNA from 1 species